rnacentral:rRNA from 1 species
AAUUGGAGGGCAAGUCUGGUGCCAGCAGCCGCGGUAAUUCCAGCUCCAAUAGCGUAUAUUAAAGUUGUUGCAGUUAAAAAGCUCGUAGUUGAAUUUCGGGAUCAAUAUUUCGGUCAUGCCGUUGGUAUGCACUGUUAUCAUUGAUUUCUCACCUUCUAAAGAACCGUAAUGCCAUUAAUUUGGUGUUACGGGGAAUUAGGACUGUUACCUUGAAAAAAUUAGAGUGUUUAAAGCAGGCUCACGCCUGAAUACAUUAGCAUGGAAUAAUGAAAUAGGACAUCCGAUUCUAUUUUGUUGGUUUCUAGGAUCGAUGUAAUGAUUAAUAGGGAUAGUUGGGGGCAUUAGUAUUCAAUUGUCAGAGGUGAAAUUCUUGGAUUUAUUGAAGACUAACUACUGCGAAAGCAUUUGCCAAGGAUGUUUUCAUUAAUCAAGAACGAAAGUUAGGGGAUCGAAGACGAUCAGAUACCGUCGUAGUCUUAACCAUAAACUAUGCCGACUAGGGAUCGGAUGAUGUUAAUUUUUUAAUGACUCAUUCGGCGCCUUACGGGAAACCAAAGUGU